GGUAUAGCUCAGUGGUAGAGUGCAUGCCUAGCAUGCAUGAGGUCCUGGGUUCAAUCUCCAGUACC
rnacentral:tRNA from 1 species